UGAACAGUCAAACUGCUCUAAUACCCCAAAUUAAAACAUAGGCCCAUCAAAUCCAUCUCACAAAAUUCUACUGUAAAUACUGAAAUGGACAGGUCUCCUAUAUGGCACACACUCUCACUAACAGACACACACAGUCAGUAACAGACACGCAUACACUCUCACUAACAGACAUGCAUACACACUAACAGACACACACACUAACAGACACACACACUAACACAAACAC